AGUUCUCAAAGUUGAUGAAGCAACCAUUCAGAAUCACGAUGACGAGAUCAUUUACACUAAUCCGACAUUCUACAAAAGAAGUCUACAAACAGUGAGGGCUACAGAGGAUAAUUAUGUGGAGUAUGCAUCUGUCUGCAUAAGACGAUGAAACGUUUCUGAGAACAGGUCCCUUUCACUAGACGUUUGGAUUCAUGUGAUCUCUGAUCUUUGGAAGUUACAGACAUUUUGGGGGGGAAUUGUUGAGAAUCCACUCUGAUGUGUGGGAGCCUGAAAACAUCUAUUCUGGAACAAAAAUCUAAACAUUAACAUACAUGGUAUUAUGAUAUAAAAACUACUUUCCCACUGAGCAAUUGUUGGAAAGUCUGAGUGAAACCUGUUUUGGUCUUGCUCAUGUUAUUAUACAUGUGCAUAAGGGCCUAUUAUUGAACAUUUGUGGUUGCUGUGCAUUUGAGAGCAUGUUAGAGGAAGAGUGUUUUUUUCCGUUCCUGGCUGCUAUUCUGAAACCCAUUGUUCACCACAAUAUGCACGCUCAUCAUGAUCUAACAGAUAAGUUGUUAUCUCAAAUCAAACAGUGAUUGACUAUGAAACCUUACUGUGUGAACAGUGUGAACUUUUCUUUUUGUAAGUGAGAAAUCAUAUAUGUAAGUGCAUAUGCUUGCUUACCUCACUUCAUAGGCUACUUAGUUUUUGAACCUAUCAGGAAUGUCAUUACAAUAGGCUCGAUGAAUCAAAAUGUCAUUUUCAUUUUUGAUCACAAGGUGGUGAUGUCGCAAAACUUUUUGAGAUCCUUCAGGGAUUGCACUACUACAUAUUAAGUUUUGUAUAUGUCAAUGCAUUUGUAAAAUAUAGGCAUUUUUAUGACAAAAUUCUAAAUAGCUGAUGGGCAAAUAUGGUAAAAUUCAGGAUUGUAGAAAAAAACUAGGCAUGCUGUGCUAAACAGACCAGUCUUGUGAUAUUUUUUUUUGUCUAAACUGUUCAGAAGGUAUGAGCAAAAAUAGCUAAUUUUCCAUAUCUCCUGGCCACUGUUUUAGUCUUAUUUAUUUUUUAUGAAACUUUAACAUGAUGUUUAACAUGAGAAUGAGUGUCAGAAGCUUGAAUGAGACAUGUAACACACAAGAAUUAACCUCAUUGGUUCUUGCAUGGCAAGCAAGCAUGCUUGAGCUUGCCAUAUUUGAUGUAUUGAUUCAGGUAAAUAAAAGCCUAAAUUCAAUCUG